AUUGAACGCUGGCGGCAGGCCUAACACAUGCAAGUCGAGCGAGCGGCGGACGGGUGAGUAAUGUAUGGGAAACUGCCCGAUAGAGGGGGAUAACUACUGGAAACGGUGGCUAAUACCGCAUACUAUCGGAUGAACCACAAUGGGAUUAGCUAGUAGGUGGGGUAAAGGCUCACCUAGGCGACGAUCCCUAGCUGGUCGGAGAGGAUGAGCAGCCACACUGUAACUGCGACACGGGCCAGACUCCUACGGGAGGCAGCAGUGGGGAAUAUUGCACAAUGGGCGCAAGCCUGAUGCAGCCAUGCCGCGUGUUUGAAGAAGGCCUUAGGGUUGUAAAGUACUUUCAGCGGGGAGGCGUUACCCGCAGAAGAAGCACCGGCUAACUCCGUGCCAGCAGCCGCGGUAAUUC
rnacentral:rRNA from 1 species